rnacentral:lncRNA from 1 species
GGUGUGGAUUAUCUAGUGUGUGAGCUAAAUUAAAAGUCUCUUUUGCACAGCCAGGGUCACGAAAAUGUUAAUUUUCGAUUAUUUUUCAAGAUGGCGUCUCUUGUUUGUGGCCUUUGUAAGGUGAUAAAUUGGUGAUUAAAAGUUAAUAAAAUAGUCAAUAUGGAUGUAAAACGAUAAAAUGGUGCUUCAGUACUAUACAGUAUCUACAGGUGAUAUGUUGUGGUGAAUUAAGACACUAAAAACGUUGUAAAAUCUGUGAGCUAAAAGUGUACGUCCGCCAUCUUCCACUACCCAGAAG